ACCAGACUCCUACGGGAGGCAGCAGUGGGGAAUAUUGCACAAUGGGGGAAACCCUGAUGCAGCGACGCCGCGUGAGUGAAGAAGUAUUUCGGUAUGUAAAGCUCUAUCAGCAGGAACGAGACAAGACGGUACCUGACUAAGAAGCCCCGGCUAACUACGUGCCAGCAGCCGCGGUAAUACGUAGGGGGCAAGCGUUAUCCGGAAUCACUGGGUGUAAAGGGAGCGUAGACGGCUGAGCAAGCCUGAAGUGAAAGGCAGGGGCCCAACCCCUGGACUGCUUUGGGAACUGUACGGCUGGAGUGCAGGAGAGGUAAGUGGAAUUCCUAGUGUAGCGGUGAAAUGCGUAGAUAUUAGGAGGAACACCAGUGGCGAAGGCGGCUUACUGGACCAUAACUGACGUUGAGGCUCGAAAGCGUGGGGAGCGAACAGGAUUAGAUACCCCCGUA
rnacentral:rRNA from 1 species